GCGGCCUGGUAGUUCAGUUGGUUAGAAUGCCAGCCUGUCACGCUGGAGGUCGAGGGUUCGANAAGUUCCGACCCGCAC
rnacentral:tRNA from 1 species